CAGCAGCCGCGGUAAUACGAAGGGUGCAAGCGUUACUCGGAAUUACUGGGCGUAAAGCGUGCGUAGGUGGUGGUUUAAGUCCGCUGUGAAAGCCCUGGGCUCAACCUGGGAAUUGCAGUGGAUACUGGGUCACUAGAGUGUGGUAGAGGAUAGUGGAAUUUCCAGUGUAGCAGUGAAAUGCGUAGAGAUCGGAAGGAACAUCUGUGGCGAAGGCGACUAUCUGGGCCAACACUGACACUGAGGCACGAAAGCGUGGGGAGCAAACAGGAUUAGAUACCCCUGUAGUCCCUGUCUCUUAUAC
rnacentral:rRNA from 1 species